rnacentral:rRNA from 1 species
UACGUAGGGGGCAAGCGUUGUCCGGAAUCAUUGGGCGUAAAGCGCGCGUAGGCGGCCAGAUUAGUCCGGUGUGAAAGUCAGAGGCUCAACCUUUGAAUGCCGCUGGAAACUGUCUGGCUUGAGUCCGGAAGGGGCGAGUGGAAUUCCUGGUGUAGCGGUGAAAUGCGCAGAUAUCAGGAGGAACACCAAUGGCGAAGGCAGCUCGCUGGAACGGUACUGACGCUGAGGCGCGAAAGCGUGGGGGAGCAAACAGG